rnacentral:sRNA from 1 species
AUCUCACUUUGAAUUGAAGCAUAAACAACAUUAUUCAUCGCACGGUACAAGACUGCCUUUGUUACCCAUUACCUUUAUUCCUCGCAAGGUUCCGAGAUGCAGAGAUUCAUCGUGGUCAUCGCCCUGCUUAUUCUCCUCCAUGAUGUUCAUGGACAAGGAGGAGUAAACUCGGGAGUAUGUCCGAGUUCGACCCCGACAGUCAGUGGAAAAUGUCAGUCAGACUGCAACUUUGACACAGACUGUGGUAUAAACCUAAAAUGCUGCCUUCAUAAUUGUAACAACGGCAAGACAGCCAGGAAAUGCAUCCAGGGCGAAAUUGAACUGCACACAGACCCUAUGUAACUGAUGUGUGGAUCUCGACGAUGUACACCUUAUCAAUAAAGUAUUUCAUAUCCGAU